GCUGGCUGAAGUUCAGGAAGUAGUGCAGCUGGGCAUAAAGCCUAUUGAAUAAAAAUCUUAAAUUGAAUCAAAUCUCUUAUAAUAAUACAUAAAAGCUCUGGAAGGGUUGGGGGUACAUCUGGGUAGCAUUUUAACAUUUAAUAUAUUUUGAUGUGUGUAUAUAUUAACUUUCUUUAUUUUGUUUUCUCAGCCUUUAAACAUCUAAACAUGUCCUCCAAAAAGGUAAGUUCAGCAGAUCAGCUUAUCUUAUUCUGUAAUAUUAAUACUGGUUUGAGAAAAACUAAGAUUAAACAACGUACAUGUUUCCAGGAAAAAGGGAAAAACAUUGGAAAACAAUUUCAGCCUAAGAACAAAAUAAGUGCUGAGGUAGCACCAUCCUUGUGGUUAUAGUGAAAGAAUGUGGGUAUUGAGACCAAAAUAAAUAAUGUCCCAUUCUGGACAAACAGCUGUGGACAAUAUGCAGUCAGAGUAGCCUAUUUUCUCACACAGAUGAGGAGCAACCAGUAAGAAAAAGCAAAAAGAUGUUUUGAUGUUGCCUGAGGCACCUUAUUCACAUCAGUCAAUUUCUUCCAAUAAUGAAUCAAGAAAUCCUGGAGUGGAGAAUCAUUCUGAAAGUAGACCAAAUACAGGACAACACCACAGCAGUGGUUGGAAAAAUGCAGCAGACAAUGAGCAAGCCAAGCUGACUUUCAAAAGAUGAUUCGUUAUCUGUUUCUUCAAAGGGGAGGCAGUUUGGGAAAUAGGAGGAUGCUACAGUUACAAAGGGCGAAUUUCAGCAGCUCAGUUUCACACUUGCAACUAACAAUGAAUUAUAGUUAGAAGACAACGGAAAUAUUUGACAUCGGAGUCCAGCAGACAGCCAGAGACACGCACACACACGGAGCUGAAGCGCGUUUGACUGAUGCGUACGGGAGAUCAGGAACGCGCACGGGAGCUUGCGCACGCACAAUCGCACACACAAACACGGAGCACAGGAAAUUUACAACUGUUCAAAUAAAAUAAAAGAACUUUGUGGUAAACAA